UUGUGAGCCACGCCCCUUCUGACAUCAUUGCUGCAGACCAUGCCCCCUUUCUACCGGUCUCGGUAGUGAGAACUGCUUUGAAAUGUAGUUUUAAUAGGGUGUGCAGGAGGAAGGAGCAGAGAAAAAAAAUGGAGUAGUGGGCAGAGGGGGACCGUGCAUCGAGAAGCAGUGAAUGAGCAGAAACAAGCCAGAAGGACUAUGUGGAGUUUUUUUCAAUUUAGUUUUUCACCACUGUCUACUGAGAAACAAUGAGCCUGCGGAAUGGGAAGAAUACGUCUGCAUUUGCAUGACACUGAAGUUGUUUAAACACAAAGCAAAAGAGGUUUCACCAGGGGACUCCCUGUCAGGACCCAGAGACUAAGCAGCGAGUGUCAAAUUCUGCCUAACAAGCAUUACAGAUUUAAGAUUAUACUCUCUAAAAUCAAAAGCCAUGUGGGACUAGGAACAUCUUACUGUAGGAAAAGGAACAUUGUGAACGUGCACCAACAGCUGCUAAAACACAGCAAGAGAAGACCUGGUGUUCUGCCAUCUGCCAUUUAUUAGAAGGAGAAAAAAAAAGAAAAAAAAAAGUCAAUAAAUCGAGCUGAAGAUGAUUGAUGAAGCUGCGAGGACCCCAUACGAGCAAUGAAUAAAGCCUUGAGAAACAAAGGGA